AUGAAGAUUAGUGGAUGGAAAGAAAAGUUGUUAUCGGCUGGUGGAAAGGAAAUUUUGCUUAAGUCUGUUGUUCAAGCUAUCCCAACAUAUGCAAUGUCUGUAUUCAAAAUUCCUAAAAAGAUUUGCAAAGGAAUCAUAAAUGCGAUGUCGCAAUUCUGGUGGGGUGACGAGGACAAUCAGAAAAGGAUGCACUGGAUGGCGUGGUGGAAGAUGUGUGUUCCAAAAGACCAAGGUGGAAUGGGUUUCCGUUAUAUACACUGUUUUAACUAG
rnacentral:rRNA from 1 species